UUGCUUCCAUGCAACAGUUUACGUCGAUUACCCUUUGGAUCCCUGAGCUAAGCUUUGCCUUAUGUGUUUCCUAGUUAGCUAUUCCGUUAGCUCCCCGUGCUAUAGGCAUUCCCUGUGCAAUCGUCACGCUGUUCAAGUGUUUGUUUGUUUGUUCCUGCCUGAUUUAUGAACAUUAAAUAUUUUCGUUACCUGCACACUGCAUCCGGAGUUCAGUCUGCAUCUUGGGAGAACAAUCCACGCAUCACCAUGCAACCUCGACGUGACACCUCUGCUCAAAAGACCUAACCUCGAUAUUGACCUCCUGCUAAACUACCUACUUCCUGAUUGCUUGUACACCGCCGCCAUUGGAAUAUACGCGCUGAAAUGGACCAAAAGGAAUCGCCUGACCCUCAUGAAUUCAUCAUUUACCGAGAGGACGACUUUUUGACUGUUGGCUUGACUUUUUAUGAACAAUUGAGUACACUUUAUUUUUUAAUUCAUUUAGUUUUUUAUAUUAUUACUUUGUAUUUCAUGCACUUUUUCGGAAAAAAACUCCGACCCAAUAUUGUCUGUUUAUUUACAUGGUAUCAGUGUAGAAAUAUAGUAAACCACUCCUCCAUA